GGUGGGGUUCCCGAGCGGCCAAAGGGRGCAGACUKUACAAUCUGCCGUCAUCGACUUCGAAGGUUCGAAUCCUUCCCCCACCACCA
rnacentral:tRNA from 1 species